rnacentral:rRNA from 1 species
UGAGGAAUAUUGGGCAAUGCCCGAAAGGGUGACCCAGCAACGCCGCGUGGAGGAUGAAUGUCGUAAGAUUGUAAACUCCUGUGAGAAGGGAAGAAUGACUCUAAUCAGAGAAAGGUUAGAGAGUGACUGUACCUUCAGAGGAAGCCCCGGCUAACUACGUGCCAGCAGCCGCGGUAAUACGUAGGGGGCAAGCGUUGUCCGGAUUUACUGGGUGUAAAGGGCGCGUAGGCGGAUUGAUAAGUCAGAGGUGAAAGCCCGCAGCUUAACUGCGGAACUGCCUUUGAUACUGUCAAUCUUGAAUUCGGAAGAGAGAAACGGAAUUCCAGGUGUAGUGGUGAAAUACGUAGAUAUCUGGAAGAACACCAGUAGCGAAGGCGGUUUCUUGGUCCGUAAUUGACGCUGAGGCGCGAAAGCGUGGGUAGCGAACAGG